rnacentral:tRNA from 1 species
GGAGAGGUGUCCGAGUGGUUGAUGGUGCCGCUCUCGAAAAGCGGUGAGCGAAAGCUCCGUGGGUUCGAAUCCCACCCUCUCCGCCA